rnacentral:rRNA from 1 species
GAUGAACGCUGGCGGCGUGCCUAAUACAUGCAAGUCGAGCGAACAGACGAGGAGCUUGCUCCUCUGACGUUAGCGGCGGACGGGUGAGUAACACGUGGAUAACCUACCUAUAAGACUGGGAUAACUUCGGGAAACCGGAGCUAAUACCGGAUAAUAUAUUGAACCGCAUGGUUCAAUAGUGAAAGACGGUUUUGCUGUCACUUAUAGAUGGAUCCGCGCCGCAUUAGCUAGUUGGUAAGGUAACGGCUUACCAAGGGGACGAUGCGUAGCCGACCUGAGAGGGUGAUCGGCCACCCUGGAACUGAGACACGGUCCAGACUCCGACGGGAGGCAGCAGUAGGGAAUCUUCCGCAAUGGGCGAAAGCCUGACGGAGCAACGCCGCGUGAGUGAUGAAGGUCUUCGGAUCGUAAAACUCUGUUAUUAGGGAACAACAAAUGUGUAAGUAACUAUGCACGUCUUGACGGUACCUAAUCAGAAAGCCACGGCUAACUACGUG